ensembl:lncRNA FTX FTX transcript, XIST regulator
GCUCUCUCCACCCCAUCUUGGGACGGCCAGCUCUAAGAAUUCCUGCUACGACACUGAAUUCAACCAGGAGGUGAUGCCACACUCAAUCAGAAACUAUGCUACUGCUGAAGAGGUAUAUUGAGCCCUGCCUGGUUAACCUCCAGUGAGGUUAUUAGAGAAUUGGGAGAGGCUCAAAUCAGCAUCCUGCACCUAGUUAUCAAACCAUUGUGAAGUCUUGAUUCCUGGAUGGCCAGAAAACUUGUCAUUGGUCAAGAGCAACAUUAAGAUCUGCCUGUUACUCAUACUGAUGCUUCCUGCCCAGCAAGUUCAUCAGAGGGCGAGGAUGAAUUACGGUUGCCAUGAAUGUCCUUGUGAGGCAGUUGGGAAGCCUUGGCUGGAUUGUGAAGGAUAUUUGAAAAGUAUUUUAGAGUCCACCAGAUCAUCCAUGUGAGUGACCAUGCAGCAAAAGAAGGAGGGUCCUCUCAGUGAUUAAGGAUUAUGAAGUAUUAAUUCUUCCACUGAUAUCUCAAAAGGUGAUCUGGACAAAGGAACAGGUAUCUCAGGAUUCCUCCUUGGUCACUUUUCAGCAGCAGCCUGCUCUUCUUUUGCAAUCUCUUCAGGAUCUCUGUAGAAGUAGAGAUCAGGCAUGAACUCCCACGGGUGUUCACGGGAAAUGGUGCCACGCAUGCGCAGAACUUCCCGAGCCAGCAUCCACCACAUCAAACCCACUGAGUGAGCUCCCUUGUUGUUGCAUGGGAUGGCAAUGUCCACGUAUCACAGAGGAGAAUCUGUGUUACACAGAGCAAUGGUAAGUUGGUUAACAUAAGAUGCCUCCGUGAGAGGCUGGUGGUCAGCCCUGGGGUCAGUAACCACAAGCCAUGGCUCCCGGAAGGCUGCCUGGAUCUGGUUAGUGAAGGUUCCAGGAGUGAAGCAGCCAGCAAUUUUUGCCAAUUUUUUAAAAUUCAUAUUACUUUUUUCUUGCUAUUGAAUUACGUUGGUUAUAUCUUCUUAACUCUUUGUCACAUAUACUGUUUGCAAAUAUUUUCUCCAAUACUGUAAAUUGACUCCUCACUCUUUUAUUUUUUAUUAUUAUUAUACUUUAAGUUUUAGGGUACAUGUGCACAAUGUGCAGGUUAGUUACAUAUGUAUACAUGUGC